UACGUAGGGUGCAAGCGUUUGUCCGGAAUUAUUGGGCGUAAAGAGCUCGUAGGCGGUUUGUUGCGUCGGCUGUGAAAUCCCGAGGCUCAACCUCGGGUCUGCAGUCGAUACGAGCAAACUAGAGUGUUGCAGGGGAGACUGGAAUUCCUGGUGUAGCGGUGAAAUGCGCAGAUAUCAGGAGGAACACCGGUGGCGAAGGCGGGUCUCUGGGCAACAACUGACGCUGAGGAGCGAAAGCCGUGGGGAGCGAACAGG
rnacentral:rRNA from 1 species